rfam:Brassica napus, WGS project CCCW01000000 data, contig: 21325
GAAAAGCACCAGGGGUGCUUGAACCAGGCUAGCCUGCUAAAAAGCGGGGUAGCCUGGGAACAGGCUGAGAAAGUCCCUUUGAACCUGAACAGGGUAAUGCCUGCGCAGGGAGUGUGCAGUUUUCUUUUU